rnacentral:rRNA from 1 species
AACGAACGCUGGCGGCAGGCUUAACACAUGCAAGUCGAACGCCCCUUCGGGGGAGUGGCAGACGGGUGAGUAACGCGUGGGAAUCUACCCAGUUCUGCGGAACAACAGUUGGAAACGACUGCUAAUACCGCAUACGUCCUACGGGGGAAAGAUUUAUCGGAAUUGGAUGAGUCCGCGUAAGAUUAGCUAGUUGGUGAGGUAACGGCUCACCAAGGCGACGAUCUUUAACUGGUCUGAGAGGAUGAUCAGUCACACUGGAACUGAGACACGGUCCAGACUCCUACGGGAGGCAGCAGUAGGGAAUAUCGGACAAUGGGGGCAACCCUGAUCCAGCGACGCCGCGUGAGUGACGAAGGCCUUCGGGUCGUAAAGCUCUGUUGCAAGGGAAAAACAAGAUGAUGGUACCUUGCUAGAAAGGAUCGGCUAACUUCGUGCCAGCAGCCGCCGCAGUAA